rnacentral:lncRNA from 1 species
AGGGAGGGGGAAGAGGAGGACAGCCAGGAUAUGACAAUUACUGCAUCGACAUCUCCAUGGAGACGAGCUGGAGAUGUACCCACCCCCAGUAAGGUUACAGUCAUGUCUAAGGAGAGGUGCGAGAAGUGGUCAACAUUUCCUAUCAGCCCGAUCGACCCCAGUGUGUCACACAUGCAGACAUGAUUAAUGAAUGGGCGCAG